rnacentral:misc_RNA from 1 species
UGUACACGUAUCUGUUUCAUUGAUCUUUAGUUUCGCGUUUCGCGUAAUGAAAUAGGUUUGCCCGUGGUCUGCGGCGUCGUGAACAGUUAAAUCUACCGAAAAUUCUCGCCCAGUUGGAUGUUGCGAAUUAGGUUCGCGCACCGAACCCUGUAUUAUAAAUAAAUAAUUGUCGUUCGCCGGGCGCAAAAGCUGUCGCAUUUUUUCCUUUAUUUCUGCUUAUAACCGCAUCGAAGUGAAUAAGAUAUGUCUGAAACCGAUUUAUUAGCCGGUGAUCAAAUCGACGGUCUCGAUGGCUUAGAAAACGGUCAGGAUGGCGAUACUCUAAUGCGAGGUGAUGGUGAUCAUAACAGCGGCGAAGCUAACGUUGAUGACCCUGAAUUAGAAGCAAUUAAGGCACGUGUCAGAGAAAUGGAAGAGGAAGCAGAAAAAUUGAAACAAUUGCAAUCCGAGGUUGACAAGCAAAUGAACAUGGGUAGUCCACCAGGCAUCACUAGUCCACUGAACAUGUCCUUGGAAGAGAAAAUGGAAGUAGACAACAGGUCGAUAUAUGUUGGAAAUGUUGAUUAUGGCGCAACAGCGGAGGAACUCGAACAACAUUUCCAUGGAUGUGGUAGUAUCAACAGAGUAACCAUUUUGUGCAAUAAAUUCGAUGGGCAUCCCAAGGGCUUUGCGUACAUUGAAUUUGGGGAUCGAGACUCCGUGCAGACAGCAAUGGCCAUGGAUGAGUCCUUGUUCAGAGGUCGUCAAAUUAAAGUAAUGCCUAAGAGAACCAAUAGACCAGGCAUGUCGAUUACGAAUAGGGGUCCUAGAGGAGCUCGUGGAUUCAGAGGAGCUGCUAGAAUCAGUCGUGGCAGUGCUUAUUUUGGCUGCCGAUAUGCAAGGCGUCCCAGAAGUUACAGGCGUGGAUACUAUAUGCCCUACUGACGGUUGUAGGCCAUCGAUAUGAAGAGAGGUGCCAUCUAAUCAUAUUCAGGAAAAAAAACUCAAACGAUGGAAAAAAAAGAGAGAGAAAAAAAGCCACAUGUCAAAAGAAAAAAAAAGAUUGGACAAAGCGGGCACAAUUAUUCCUAUUUCGUAAUUUUAUUGAAACAAAAAAAAAAAAAAAAA